UACGUAGGGUGCGAGCGUUGUCCGGAAUUAUUGGGCGUAAAGAGCUCGUAGGCGGUUUGUCACGUCUGCUGUGAAAUCCCGAGGCUCAACCUCGGGCCUGCAGUGGGUACGGGCAGACUGGAGUGCGGUAGGGGAGAAUGGAAUUCCUGGUGUAGCGGUGGAAUGCGCAGAUAUCAGGAGGAACACCGGUGGCGAAGGCGGGUCUCUGGGCCGAUAUUGACGCUGAGGAGCGAAAGCGUGGGGAGCGAACAGG
rnacentral:rRNA from 1 species